CCUGAGUGGAAACAAAGAGAGGAUUCUGAGUCCCCACUCACCAUCAAGAGAUCAAACGGCAGGUGGAUCACAGAGACACAAGGUGGAGGGCAGGCCGUGAAGAGCCGGCAAUGACCAGCACAGUGAUUUCUGACCUAAGCCCUGUUGAGACUGCAAGUGGGCACAGUCUCCAUUCCCAGUUCCUAAGAAGCUUCCUGCAAUGACUUUGGCUAAAGCCACAGGGAUCCUUGCCUCAGCCAGGAAUUACUGAGCCUGAUUAUCUCCAAGGCACCUGCCAGCUUGGACAUUCUAUGAAACGAGCAAAAUUAGGAAAAAUGUGAAGCAUGUUAAGUGAAGAAGGUUUGCACACAAAGAUGGAGCAAAAAGUCACAGAACAAUCUGCAGCAGAGGUAAACUGCAAGCACCAAGCCUCCUACAGGAGUGUGCGAUGCCAGUAAAUCGCACUGAUCCAGGCUGGGAGCAAGAUGCUGUGUCUGAACACCCUCGGGCCAGAGAAGCAGAAGCUCUGAGUUCCUGUCACCACCACCCCCCACCCCGCCCCCUGCUUUUACCUGUCACCCCAACUCUCUGGGGAUAGCAGCACCUACCUCACAUAUUACUGUGAUGAUUAAAUGUGAAAACACAUAUGAAA